UGAGGAAUAUUGGUCAAUGGGCGCAAGCCUGAACCAGCCAAAUCGCGUGAAGGAAGACUGCCCUAUGGGUUGUAAACUUCUUUUAUAUAGGAAUAAAGUGUGGAACGCGUUUCCAUUUUGCAUGUACUGUAUGAAUAAGGAUCGGCUAACUCCGUGCCAGCAGCCGCGGUAAUACGGAGGAUCCGAGCGUUAUCCGGAUUUAUUGGGUUUAAAGGGUGCGUAGGCGGGACUACAAGUCAGCGGUGAAAUCUUCCAGCUCAACUGGAAAAUUGCCAUUGAAACUGUAGUUCUUGAGUGUAAACGAGGUAAGCGGAAUGUGUUGUGUAGCGGUGAAAUGCUUAGAUAUAACACAGAACACCAAUUGCGAAGGCAGCUUACUAGGAUACAACUGACGCUGAGGCACGAAAGCGUGGGUAUCAAACAGGCUUAGAUACCCUGGUAGUCCACGCUGUAAACGAUGAUUACUAGCUGUUUGCGAUACACAGUAAGCGGCUAAGCGAAAGCGAUAAGUAAUCCACCUGGGGAGUACGUUCGCAAGAAUG
rnacentral:rRNA from 1 species